rnacentral:rRNA from 1 species
UACAGAGGUCCCAAGCGUUGUUCGGAUUCACUGGGCGUAAAGGGUGCGUAGGCGGUCGGGUAAGUCUGAUGUGAAAUCUCCAAGCUCAACUUGGAAAUGGCAUCGGAUACUAUUCGGCUCGAGGAAUGGAGGGGAGACUGGAAUACUUGGUGUAGCAGUGAAAUGCGUAGAUAUCAAGUGGGAACACCAGUGGCGAAGGCGAGUCUCUGGACAUUUCCUGACGCUGAGGCACGAAAGCCAGGGGAGCAAACGGG